rnacentral:lncRNA from 1 species
CCGCUUAAAGCCAGGAACGGCGCGGCGGAGUCGCGGGAAGGGACUGACGGAGGGAGGUUAAUUAUAACAGAGAGAGUCGCUAUUUAUUUUUUGUAGUAGUGUCGUACGAAUGUACCGUGGUUUGAAAACGGUUGUUGCCUUUUUAUAUUAUUUAUGCCUUGAAAUUCCGUCCUUAUUUUUUUUUUCCCUCCUCCCCGUGCACCACGGAAUGUGUUUUUUUUAUUUUAAAAAAAGGAGCAAUAAUAUAAAGAACGAUGGGAACUACGUAGCGUGGUUUCCGUGGGGUGUCGCCGGCGUGAGGAGCGAGGCGGAAGCGGCUAAUGCGCGGAUGGAGCCGAGCAAAUCCCAGCGGAGCGGACCGCCGUGGCAGUGUUUCCGGUGGGAGCACCGAAGGAUGAAACCCGCCUCCCGCGGGAUGCGGGAGCGAUCCGGGGCGCUCAGGACCGUUUCCUUGGCUUCUCCCGGCACCGUUUGUAGAACCGGAGUGGCAAAUUUGCUUAAAACCACCUUUCUCGCUCGCGCUUUCGCCCCCCUCGUCCCCCGGCUGCACCGACGGGGACGAGCGGGAGGCGCUGCUGAAAGAGCUGUUUGCCGGGCCGAGGGAAUAGGAGCCGCUGGAAUACCUGCCGUUGCCUCCGGAGCUGAAGGAGCCCUUGGGAAAGCGCUCCAGGCUCGACGCAACCCGCCAGCCUGGCAGGAACAGCGCUCGCCGCGCGAUGGAGCUACGGGCAGGAGCGGCGCCGGCGGUGGGGAAGGGAGGAAGCGGAGCCGGCCUGGCCUCUCCGAGAGAUCCCGGGACCUUCGGAGAAAAACCGCUUUGCCGGCGGGCCGGCGCGGCACCGUAUAUACAGCGAAAAAAAGGAAAAAAACCUCCGUGCUCCUCUGCAAACGCCGCUCGGCCGCGGCGCCCAGCCCCUCGCUUUGCACCGUUCCCCGCGAGCAGUGACCUCAACGCGCCGCGGUGGGCGUAGCGGACGGAAGCCCGUGCUGCCUUUUCCCCGGAAGCCGUCAAUAUUCCUUGGGAAAUGGGGUGUACGCGGCCCUCGCCCUCCGCCGCUUCCCGGCCCGUGACUUCAUUCCGGCCCGAAUACAGGUGACAACUGCCCCGAAUGCAACGGGAAAUAAAUAUUUAUUUAAGCUUUGGGAA